AGCAAGCUGGGCAGCCGCGGGGAGAGGCCGAAAGGUCCUCCCUGAGGAAAGUCCGGGCUCCGCAGGGCAAGGAUAACGGGUAACACCCGCCGGGGGCGACCCUAGGAAAAGUGCAACAGAGAGAAACCGCCUCGCCCCUUCGUGGGGAGAAACGCGCGGCGAAAGGAACGAGCCAUGCCGCUUGCGGCGUGGGGCGCGACUGGAGUCUGCGCCGACGAGGUAAGGGUGGAAAGGCAGAGGUAAGAGCCUGCCCGAUGGCUGGGAACAGUCCAUCGCUGUAAACUCUAUCCGGAGCAACACCGUGGGAACACACCAGGCCGGCCCGGCCGUGUUCAGGAGGUGGCUGGAGCGCGGCGGCAACGACGCGCCUAGAUAGAUGGCUGUCUUAAAGGACAGAACCCGGCUUACAGGCUUACUUG
rnacentral:RNase_P_RNA from 1 species